rnacentral:rRNA from 1 species
AGUUUGAUCAUGGCUCAGAGCGAACGCUGGCGGCAGGCUUAAUACAUGCAAGUCGAGCGCCCGUAGCAAUACGGGAGCGGCAGACGGGUGAGUAACACGUGGGAACAUGCCCUUCGGUUCGGAAUAACUCAGGGAAACUUGAGCUAAUACCGGAUACGCCCUUACGGGGAAAGAUUUAUCGCCGAAGGAUUGGCCCGCGUCCGAUUAGCUAGUUGGUGAGGUAAUGGCUCACCAAGGCGACGAUCGGUAGCUGGUCUGAGAGGAUGAUCAGCCACACUGGGACUGAGACACGGCCCAGACUCCUACGGGAGGCAGCAGUAGGGAAUAUUGGACAAUGGGGGAAACCCUGAUCCAGCCAUGCCGCGUGUGUGAUGAAGGCCCUAGGGUUGUAAAGCCCUUUCGGCGGGGAAGAUAAUGACGGUACCCGCAGAAGAAGCCCCGGCCAACUUCGUGCCAGCAGCCGCGGUAAUACGAAGGGGGCUAGCGUUGCUCGGAAUCACUGGGCGUAAAGCGCACGUAGGCGGAUCCUUAAGUCGGGGGUGAAAUCCUGGAGCUCAACUCCAGAACUGCCCUCGAUACUGAGGAUCUUGAGUCCGGGAGAGGUGAGUGGAACUGCGAGUGUAGAGGUGAAAUUCGUAGAUAUUCGCA